rnacentral:rRNA from 1 species
CCUACGGGGUGCAGCAGUGAGGAAUAUUGGUCAAUGGACGCAAGUCUGAACCAGCCAUGCCGCGUGCAGGAAGACGGCUCUAUGAGUUGUAAACUGCUUUUGUACGAGGGUAAACGCAGAUACGCGUAUCUGUCUGAAAGUAUCGUACGAAUAAGGAUCGGCUAACUCCGUGCCAGCAGCCGCGGUAAUACGGAGGAUUCAAGCGUUAUCCGGAUUUAUUGGGUUUAAAGGGUGCGUAGGCGGUCGGAUAAGUUAGAGGUGAAAUCCCGAGGCUCAACUUCGGAAUUGCCUCUGAUACUGUUCGGCUUGAGAGUAGUUGCGGUAGGCGGAAUGUAUGGUGUAGCGGUGAAAUGCUUAGAGAUCAUACAGAACACCGAUUGCGAAGGCAGCUUACCAAGCUACUUCUGACGUUGAGGCACGAAAGCGUGGGGAGCAAACAGGAUUAGAUACCCGAGUAGUC